rnacentral:tRNA from 1 species
CGUCCUCGUGGCCGAGCAGGUCCGCGACGCGGCGCUGCAGCCGCAGCACGGUCGGGUCCUCGCCGUAGACGUCGUC